UGGAGUAGUGUGUGUAUGUCAUCGUGCAGCCAGGACAACUACUCAGAUUUAAGACGUUAACCUCUUUCAUACAGACAAUACUUAAACCAGCAUGGUGGGCUUUAUAGGAACACAUUUUCAAAGAAAAUGACUUCUAGCUUGAAGACAGCAAAGACAGAUUAGUGCUCACAGACAGAUCAGUGCUUACCGCCACCUCUGGUGAAAGUUACCGCACGCCACUGUCCAAAGGCAUCCACUCUUCAGGGUGCUCCUCCUACUGCUUCCACAAAAGCUCUACCUAGAAAAAGAAUGACGGUCCUAGAGCAGCUUGAAGUACAAAAGAGUAACACUUCUGGAAAUGCUCAGGUGGAGCACCUCCACAAGCUCCAGGCUCCUGCUCCACCCACUGUCCCCAGAAGAGGACGAAAGUUGCUCCCAGCCCAGCAGGAGAGACUAGAGCGUAUAAAGGCUCAUCAGCCCAACAUCAACACACCAUGCGGGACUCGGUGGGUGACUGAGUAUACGGAAAACUUUGGUUUGCCGCAACCUGUCCGCUUAACUCCGGAGAAAACUGCACACUGGAAGGCCUCGAUCUUUUAUAGCACACGUAACCCUCAUUCUGCAGACAAGUGUCGACACACCGAAUAUCAGGCUCUCUACAGUCCUGAGACAGAUCAGUGCUUACAGACAGAUCAGUGCUCACAGACAGAUCAGUGCUUACCGCCACCUCUGGGGAAAGCUACCGCACGCCACUGUCCAAAGGCAUCCACUCUUCGGGGUGCUCCUCCUACAGCUUCCACAAAAGCUCUACCUGGACGAAAGUUGCUCCCAGCCCAGCAGGAGAGACUAGAGCGUAUAAAGGCUCAUCAGCCCGACAUCAACACACCAUGCGGGACUCGGUGGGUGACUAAGUAUACAGAAAACGUUGGUUCACCGCAAAUUGUCCGCUUGCCUCGUGCUCCGAAGAAAACUGCAUGCCGUUUGGCCUCGACCUUUCGGAGCAUACCCAACCCUCAUUUUGGAGACAAGUAUCGACGCUCCGAAUACCAGGCCAUCUACGGUCCUGAGAUCCGCACUGCACAAUUCAACCUUACUCUGUACCGACAGCUCCACGGAACGGCUUAAAAAAGAGAUACUAGAGAUCCUGAUCCUUUCUGCUCUCCGGACCUGCCUGAUCCGUUUCGGAUGUCCUACCUCUGGAUGGAGCUCUCAUCUACUCCAAUUCCAGAUUGCUGGGACUACGGCUGCUUCUAAGGCCAACCAGACUUCAUAUAAAUCCAUAAUGAACUUUUACACACUAUCUGUUGUUACCCAGAUGAGGAUGGGUUCCCUUCUGAGUCUGGUUCCUCUCAAGGUUUCUUCCUCUUAACAUCUUAGGGAGUUUUCCUUGCCACCGUCGCCACCGGCUUGCUCAAUUGGGAUAAAUUCGCACUUUUAAUAUCUGUAUACCAUGUUUAUAUUUCUGUAAAGCUGCUUUGAGACAAUGUCUAUUGUAAAAAGCGCUAUACAAAUAAAAUUGAAUUGAAUGGAAUAUAUAGGGAUAUCAUAGCCAUUUAAUCUGUUUAUUGUAAACCUUUAUUUUCCAUGAAGUGAUGUGUUCCUGGUCCACUUUCUAAGAAAUCUGGACAGAGGACACAAGAACAAAAAGAGUUUAAAAUCACAAGGGGGAUAUGUGUUCAUACUUGACACCAUGGGAGGUUUGUCAUUUUCACUGAUAGUUCAGAUGCUCAUGGUCAUCCUUGAUUUGUUUACUUAUAUUCUUUAUUAUUGUGACAGAAAAGGAGGGACUAAAUCUGGAAUGUGAUGUUCAACAAGCA
ensembl:lncRNA